rnacentral:ncRNA from 1 species
CCAACGUCGAAAUACCCUACUCCAGAAGCGACGUCACUUCAUUGAUAAAUCUCCACGCCCGAAAUGCAACACAAAGUCUCUGGAAGAGCUCUGCACACCAUUACCCUCCUCUAUAUCUACUGGGCCGUGACCUAACAAACCGUAUGUCACGUAACCUACCCAAACGAGCUGAAGCUGUUAUACACCGAUUAGGUCUGAACAUUUCCUACACACAUGAAUUUCUGCACCGAAUCGGAAAAACACACAAUCCGAACUGUCCGGGAUGUGAUUGUGUGGAAACUAUAUCUCUUUUAUUUUGUGAUUGUGCACUUUACGAGGGAGAAAUAGAACUCCUAAAGAGCAUUCUUUCACAUCUGGACGACCGGCCAUUUACAACAUCUAAAACACUAGGGGCCAGGGACUCUCCACUUAAAGAGGAGAAGGCCGCAAACGCCCUUCUGCGAUUUUUAUCAGAAACUUGCCUCGAGUUCUAUUUGUAAAAAGUGAUCUAGUGUUCAUUAUUUGUUGUCGUAUAGAGGACUAUCCGUUUUAUAAUUCCUUUAAGUGUACAUGUGAGCAACUGAACUUGGUGCUGGAGCGUACAAAAACUCGAGUGUUUUGGUGAACAUUGGUGAAAAACCAGCACACACGUUCAGUAUUUUAUUUUAGUUGUAGUGCCAUAUUGGAAACUGCGGCAUUCUCAUAUCCUCUUCCCCUUCUCCAACCCAGAGUAGCCAACCGGGGCAGGCCGCCUGGGUCAACCUUUCUGUUUUCUCCACCUGCCCUUAUCUUCUUCUUCUUUGUACACGCCGCCCGUCCCUAUAGUACCGUUUGAAUGUUUUAGUGAGGUCUUCAGACGGAUACCCGGAGAGGUCUUUUGGUUGCUCCUGUGUGUUGAAAAGAUGAUCGAACUUGAUAAUUUAGAGGAAGUAAAAGUCGUAACAAGGUUUCUGUAGGUGAACCUGGAGAAAGAUCAUUA